rnacentral:rRNA from 1 species
UGGGGAAUAUUGCACAAUGGUGGAAACCCUGAUGCAGCGACGCCGCGUGAGCGAAGAAGGUUUUCGAAUCGUAAAGCUCUGUCCUAUGGGAAGAUAAUGACGGUUCCAUAGGAGGAAGCCCCGGCUAACUACGUGCCAGCAGCCGCGGUAAUACGUAGGGGGCAAGCGUUUUCCGGAAUCACUGGGCGUAACGGGUUCGCAGGCGGAAAUGCAAGUCAGUUGUGCAAGGCAGAGGCUCAACCUCUGUAAGCAAUUGAAACUGUAUUUCUUGAGAUGUGGAGAAGCAAGUGGAAUUCCUAGUGUAGCGGUGAAAUGCGUAGAUAUUAAGAAGAAUACCGGUGGCGAAGGCGACUUGCUGGAAACAAACUGACGCUGAGGAACGAAAGCGUGGGUAGCAAACAGG